rnacentral:rRNA from 1 species
AUUGAACGCUGGCGGCAUGCUUUACACAUGCAAGUCGAACGGUAGCAGGCCGCAAGGUGCUGACGAGUGGCGAACGGGUGCGUAAUGCAUCGGAACGUGCCCAGUCGUGGGGGAUAACUACUCGAAAGAGUAGCUAAUACCGCAUACGAUCUAUGGAUGAAAGCGGGGGACCGUAAGGCCUCGCGCGAUUGGAGCGGCCGAUGUCAGAUUAGGUAGUUGGUGGGGUAAAGGCUCACCAAGCCAACGAUCUGUAGCUGGUCUGAGAGGACAACCAGCCACACUGGGACUGAGACACGGCCCAGACUCCUACGGGAGGCAGCAGUGGGGAAUUUUGGACAAUGGGCGCAAGCCUGAUCCAGCAAUGCCGCGUGCAGGAAGAAGGCCUUCGGGUUGUAAACUGCUUUUGUACGGAACGAAACGGCUCUGGUUAAUACCCGGGGCUAAUGACGGUACCGUAAGAAUAAGCACCGGCUAACUACGUG